rnacentral:rRNA from 1 species
CCUACGGGAGGCAGCAGUGAGGAAUAUUGGUCAAUGGGCGUAAGCCUGAACCAGCCAAGUCGCGUGAGGGAUGAAGGUUCUAUGGAUCGUAAACCUCUUUUAUAAGGGAAUAAAGUGCGGGACGUGUCCCGUUUUGUAUGUACCUUAUGAAUAAGGAUCGGCUAACUCCGUGCCAGCAGCCGCGGUAAUACGGAGGAUGCGAGCGUUAUCCGGAUUUAUUGGGUUUAAAGGGUGCGUAGGCGGACUGUUAAGUCAGCGGUAAAAGCCCGGGGCUCAACCCCGGCGAGCCGUUGAAACUGGCUGUCUUGAGAUGUCGAGAGGUAUGCGGAAUGCGCAGUGUAGCGGUGAAAUGCUUAGAUAUUGCGCAGAACUCCGAUUGCGAAGGCAGCUUACCAAUCUAUAUCUGACGUUGAGGCACGAAAGCGUGGGGAGCAAACAGGAUUAGAUACCCGAGUAGUC